CUUGUUUUCCUUUUUUCCUUUUUUUUAAGGUCUGUUCUGAGCCUUCCCCAGGCUUACUAAAUCAUCCAUGGCUGAAAGUGGUGGAAAUGUCCCACAAAGCUCAAAACUUAAAUGAGUUUUCCCGUUCCUCAAUGAUCAAUUUGACUCUCCUUUGAUUUCAGAUGCGGAGAACAUAGAUCCAUCAUCAUGCUGGGCUUGACACAACUGACACCCUUGUCUUCUGCCCACAUUUCUAACUGCAGAGAACAAGGGAGGGGAGAUUGCAGAAACCAGCGAGAAGGAGCUAAGACUUCAAACAAAGACCUCAGUCAUGUACCUCUGACUUCCAGAAAGUUUUAUAGAGUCUGUCUUGAGAAGCAGGACUCACAACAUGGGAAAUGACCGAAACAUGGGGAGGAUAUAAAAAGACGUUAGCAGCUACCAAGGAUGAGAAUCUAUACACCAUGAAAACCAAAUGGCAGCUUUUCCCUGGGAACACUGAGAGCCCAUGGAGAAAGAGGAGUAGCCUUUCUGGCCUCCAUCAAAGUCCCUGCUCUUACGUCCUGGGUUAACGCUCAGAAAAUCAUGCAUGAGUUCACUCAGCCUUUGUUUGUGUAUAAUUAUUGAAUAUGCAUCUCAUAUCUUUGUUUUUGGGGAACUGAAAUUUGUAUAAAGAAGAUUAGCAUGUCUGUGCACAAUCUUAUUACAUAAUGACCCCAAAUAUGGGUCAGUGUAC
rnacentral:lncRNA from 1 species